GGGGAAUAUUGGGCAAUGGACGCAAGUCUGACCCAGCAACGCCGCGUGAAGGAAGAAGGCUUUCGGGUUGUAAACUUCUUUUAAGGGGGAAGAGUAGAAGACGGUACCCCUUGAAUAAGCCACGGCUAACUACGUGCCAGCAACCGCGGUAAUACGUAGGUGGCAAGCGUUGUCCGGAUUUACUGGGUGUAAAGGGCGUGUAGCCGGGAAGGCAAGUCAGAUGUGAAAUCUGGAGGCUCAACCUCCAAACUGCAUUUGAAACUGCUUUUCUUGAGUGUCGGAGAGGUAAUCGGAAUUCCUGGUGGAGCGGUGGAAUGCGCAGAUAUCAGAAGGAACACCAGUGGCGAAGGCGGUUCUCUGGACAUUUCCUGACGCUGAGAAGCGAAAGCGUGGGGAGCAAACA
rnacentral:rRNA from 1 species